rnacentral:tRNA from 1 species
AAGGAUUUAAGUUAAUUAAACUUUUAACCUUCAAAGUUAACAAUAGAAAAGUUCUAAGCCUUA